rnacentral:rRNA from 1 species
ACGUAGGGUGCAAGCGUUAAUCGGAAUUACUGGGCGUAAAGCGUGCGCAGGCGGUGAUGUAAGACAGGUGUGAAAUCCCCGGGCUUAACCUGGGAACUGCAUUUGUGACUGCAUCGCUGGAGUGCGGCAGAGGGGGAUGGAAUUCCGCGUGUAGCAGUGAAAUUCGUAGAUAUCGAGAGGAACACCGGCGGCGAAGGCGGCCCCCUGGCCCGCAACUGACGCUCAUGGUCGAAAGCGUGGGGAGCAAACAGGA